CGCUGGCGGCAGGCUUAACACAUGCAAGUUGAACGGGAACAUACGAUAGCUUGCUAUAGUAUGUGAGAGUGGCGCACGGGUGAGUAAUACAUGGGAACAUACCUUAAAGUGGGGGAUAACUUCUGGAAACGGAUGCUAAUACCGCAUAUACCCUGAGGGGGAAAGAUUUAUCGCUUUAAGAUUGGCCCAUGGCAGAUUAGGUAGUUGGUGGGGUAAAGGCCUACCAAGCCGACGAUCUGUAGCUGGUCUGAGAGGACGAUCAGCCACAUUGGGACUGAGACACGGCCCAGACUCCUACGGGAGGCAGCAGUGAGGAAUAUUGGUCAAUGGUCGAGAGACUGAACCAGCCAAGUCGCGUGAGGGAUGACUGCCCUAUGGGUUGUAAACCUCUUUUCUACUGGGAGAAUAAGCCUUAUGUAUAAGGUGAUGACAGUACAGUAGGAAUAAGCAUCGGCUAACUCCGUGCCAGCAGCCGCGGUAAUACGGAGGAUGCGAGCGUUAUCCGGAUUUAUUGGGUUUAAAGGGUGCGUAGGCGGCUUUAUAAGUUAGUGGUAAAAUUUCGGAGCUUCACUCCGGUCCGCCAUUAAAACUGUAGAGCUAGAGGAUGGACGAGGUAGGCGGAAUAAGUUAAGUAGCGGUGAAAUGCAUAGAUAUAACUUAGAACUCCGAUAGCGAAGGCAGCUUACCAGACCAUAACUGACGCUGAUGCACGAGAGCGUGGGAAGCGAACAGGAUUAGAUACCCUGGUAGUCCACGCCGUAAACGAUGCUCACCGGCCCUUAGCGAUAAGACAGUUAGGGGUUAAUUGAAAGAAUUAAGUGAGCCACCUGGGGAGUACGUCGGCAACGAUGAAACUCAAAGGAAUUGACGGGGGCCCGCACAAGCGGAGGAACAUGUGGUUUAAUUCGAUGAUACGCGAGGAACCUUACCUGGGUUUAAAUGUAUAUUGCAUAAGCUGGAAACAGUUUUUCUCUUCGGAGCUAUAUACAAGGUGCUGCAUGGUUGUCGUCAGCUCGUGCCGUGAGGUGUCGGGUUAAGUCCCAUAACGAGCGCAACCCUUACCGUUAGUUGCUAGCAUGUAAUGAUGAGCACUCUAGCGGGACUGCCACCGUAAGGUGAGAGGAAGGGGGGGAUGACGUCAAAUCAGCACGGCCCUUACAUCCAGGGCGACACACGUGUUACAAUGGCCAUAACAGCGGGUAGCUACCGGGCGACCGGAUGCAAAUCUCGAAAAUUGGUCUAAGUUCGGAUUGGAGUCUGCAACCCGACUCCAUGAAGUUGGAUUCGCUAGUAAUCGCGGAUCAGCAUGCCGCGGUGAAUACGUUCCCGGGUCUUGUACACACCGCCCGUCACGCCAUGGGAGUUUGUUCUGCCUGACGGCGUUGAGCUAACCUAGCAAUAGGAGGCUGGCGACCACGGUAGGGUAAGCAAG
rnacentral:rRNA from 1 species